UGCACGUGUCUAGGAGUUGCUGUGUUAACCUUGGGGGCGAACAGUUGAUUUUCGAUUGCACCACGGUCGAGUCGGAUUUUCGCUUUCAAGGCAGUGGUUUUUUCCACGGCACAGCAUAAUUUCAAUUCAUAUUUUCUGAUUUUUCCAACAAAAAUUACAAGGAGAUGCAUUGCUAAUGCUAAGACAAUGGAUGUGCUUCCACAAUGUCAUGUUACUUCCUACGAUGGACACUUUAGUGGACAAAGAACUGCAACAAAGGUUUUUCAAAGUCGUUACUACUGGCCCUCAGUAUUCAAGGAUGCCCACGCCUUUGUGAAGAGCUGUGAUAGAUGUCAACAUAUGGGAUAUAUUUCCAAUAAGUCGUAAAUGCCUUUAAAUUUCAUCUUAGAAAUUGGACUGUUCGAUGUUUGGGGAAUAGACUUUAUGGGGCCUUCCCAUCGUGCAAUGGCAACUUAUUCAUUCUUCUAGCAGUAGACUAUAGUAGAGGCCAAAACUUGUGCCACUAGUGAUGCCAAGGUGGUUCUCAAAUUUUUACACAAGAACAUCUUUAUGAGGUUUGGAACACCGAGAGUAUUGAUAAGUGAUGAAGGAUCUCACUUUGUUAACAGAGCUAUGACUGUGUUGCGUUGCUUGAAGGGUAUAGUUUUGCUCGUGGACAAGCAAGGUCUUCAGUUUUCGUAGUCUUAUUUUGAGUUUAUAUGGUUAUAAUUAAAUUGUUGGAGCAUCAGAAGCAGAGCAACAAAGAUGGAUAGAUAAGGCCAGGACAACAUCGAAAGUACGAAAAAAUAGGGCAACGCAGUAACUUACUUUCAUGUGGAUUUUUACCAAAUUUCCACACACCUGUUAUCCGUUGCCCUAAAAUUAGAAGAUGGUCCAAAAGCAAGAAGAAUCGCAGCUGACAACAUCGAUCUCAAAGAGAAUUAUUCGAAAAAGGACCAAAAAGAGAGGAGAGAACUUACCUUCAAUAGCAGGAGACCUUCGAAUUUCUACGAAGACUAGAGGAAGCUUUUAGUUCUUUGUUAUUUUCGCAGAAAUUGAUUGUUCUCUUUUAUUUUCUUUUAUGUUUUCCUCAACCCUGGUGAGUUAAAUUCCAUUUUGGGGGAGGUUGUAAACUUUUGCUGUAAACAAUAGUUGCUAUAGCUCGAUUUUGUAAGCUGUUAAGUAUAGUUGUUAGUAUUUCUUAACUCUUUGAAUUUGUUGGUCAUCAUUUUUGGAUUGCUUGCUCUUACAUGAUUUGGAAAAAUAUAUGAGAUGCCUGAUUGGCUCUACUUGAUGUUA